AGGGCCGGUCGUUAUGUACGGAAUUAUAGAAGAUGAUGUUUAUCUACAUUUCCUUCUUUUGCAAGCAGCAUUGCGUGUCUUGUCUUCUUCUUCGCCAUCUCCGAUAAACUUACAAUUUGCACAACAAGCUUUAAAAUUAUUCGUGGAACAGACCGAAAUCAUUUAUGGGGCAUCUUUUUUGUCGUACAAUGUGCAUGCUCUUAUACACCUCGUAGACGAUGUCGUAAAGCUAGGACCUCUAGAUUUCUGGUCAGCUUUUCCUUACGAAAACAAUAUGCGUGUUUUGAAAAAAUACUGCAGAAAACCACAUCUUUGGAGCAAAUUGCACGUAGAACUGCCGAAGAAGCGAACUGCCCUGAUCGCUUUACGACGAAGCAAAACAAUGAUGCGCCGGUAAAAGUGACCGGACAGCACUACAGCGGAAAUGUGCCUAUGGAGCUUGCUGGUGCUCGUCAAUACAGUAAUGUAAAAACUGUGAAUUUUACAUUGGGUCUUCAAAUUCACAAUCAUUGUUGUAUCACGCGUAAUGGCUCCAUCUGCAUAAUUUCGAACAUUCUCACAAUAGGUGUUUUUAAAUGUUCGGCCUUGAGCACGCAGACCUCUCAUAUUCUUCUCGAUGACGUUGUAGCAAAGGCUUAUAAAAUGCCAAACUGGCAAGCUCAAUCAAACACUUUCGAUAAUAACAGCGAUGAAGAAGUAUAUGUCCAACCUGCCAACAGUCAUUGUUAUUAGUAUGUAUAACAAUCAUGAAGAAAAUUAAUCAUUCCAACCUGUAUUCUUGCUAAUACAUUUGUACAUUUACUUUUGAAUAAGUAAAAUGUAAAUGAAAGAUAAUUUAUAAUGCAACUAUAAGAAUGGCGGUUCGGGUCCGCAGGAAGAAGAAGGAGCCAAGCUGGCACAAAGACAUGGUGCAACUAGCAUCCACGACGGAGUCGUCUUCGAAUGAGCAAGAACCGUUGCGCAAAACAUCAUCAUCCCUAUCAGACCGUAUUCAGCGGAUUAAACGUUCCCUUAAAAAUUACCAACCGGAUGCUCCAUCUCCCGUAAAUCAUAGCUGUUCUGAACUUUUAGAUAUUUCCGCAAAUUAUCCACAUGUGC